AACGAACGCUGGCGGCAUGCCUAACACAUGCAAGUCGAACGAAGCCUUCGGGCUUAGUGGCGCACGGGUGCGUAACACGUGGGAAUCUGCCCUUUGGUUCGGAAUAACAGUUAGAAAUGACUGCUAAUACCGGAUAAUGACGUAAGUCCAAAGAUUUAUCGCCGAAGGAUGAGCCCGCGUAGGAUUAGGUAGUUGGUGGGGUAAAUGGCCCACCAAGCCGACGAUCCUUAGCUGGUCUGAGAGGAUGAUCAGCCACACCGGGACUGAGACACGGCCCAGACUCCUACGGGAGGCAGCAGUGGGGAAUAUUGGACAAUGGGCGAAAGCCUGAUCCAGCAAUGCCGCGUGAGUGAUGAAGGCCUUAGGGUUGUAAAGCUCUUUUACCAGGGAUGAUAAUGACAGUACCUGGAGAAUAAGCUCCGGCUAACUCCGUGCCAGCAGCCGCGGUAAU
rnacentral:rRNA from 1 species